UAGUGAGCGAAAUUUGUUUAGCUGCACACAGUAAUCUCCAAAAAUAACGAUAUAACGCCGGUAUUCAAAGUUCUAUUUAUCAAACAUUAUGUUCUGAAGCCUACAUUUCAUAUGGCAAAUAAUUUCAAUUGAAAAAAAAGGGAAAUAUUAAAAUGGCAAGUGGAAACCUUCUAGAAGAAGUGGGAAAAAUCGUGAUUUUAAAAGGAACUAUACUUUCAAAUUGUGAAAUUUAUCGCCGAAUUAAUAGAUCGGAGGAAGUGAUACAAAAUUCUUUUAAAUUUGGAGACAACACGAUAUGUCCACUUCAAAUUAGCAGGAGACAUGGAGAUAAACCGCCGAAAAAUCAACAUUUUCAAAGAAAAAGCCACUAAAAAUAAAUUGAGCGCGUGAAUAAAAACAGCUUACAUUUUCUGACAAAGUUGUCAGAGUAGAUUAUGUCAAUAAUCUGGCUUGAAUGAAAAAACGCUAUAUCAUUAUUUGUAAUGAGAAAAAAAUUAAUCUAGGCGGACCUGACGGGCGUAGUUGGUACUGGCAAGAUCUUUAUGCAAAUGACCCAUCAAGACUGAACCGGCAACUUCGGUGGUACGUCGAUUUUUAGGGAAAACUGUAAUUGUAUUUAAAACAAACAAAUUUAUGGAGAAAGAUGUAUUGAGUUCAUGCACGAUGUUCUAAUUAGCUAACACAGAAUUAAUGUUUCAGCAAGAUAAUGACAGUAUUCAUGUAGCAAAACCGUCAAAUAUUUUGUCUCACUCAAUACUAUUUUUUUAAUUAAAACGUCAGAAGUCUAGGUCGAUUGGAUUAAAAUCUAAAAUGUUAAAGGCAGUUUAGUAAAGGCUGUUUACGCAAAUAGUCAGCAAUUUUGCAAGGGUUGUUGAAUUUGGAUAUAAAGACACUUCGAAAGUUAAUUGAUUUACUGCCAAACAGAUUUUUUCAAAAAAUUAACAAAGGUGGUGGCUCAACUACUUACCAGAAACUCAAAAUUUUCAAAACUAUCUAUCACAUUUCGAUAUUUUGACAAUUGUAGUGCGGAGCAUGCAUUUUUAAGUGUUAGUAUAUAUUUUUAAUAAAUUAAAAACGUGUAUAUUUAGUUUAUCAAUGCAUUUCUGUUUUACUUCACUAUGAUAAGCUAAGCAAGCAAAUUUCGCUCACUGUACGAUUGAUCGAAAUACUAUAGUUAUAAAUUGCACUAUUGCCAUUGGGUAGUGAUACUACUAAGGUAAUACUGAUGAAUUUCGAGCUAACGUAAGGACUACUAGUACGGAGUACAAAUAUGGAGCAAGGACCAGCUGUCAAGAAACGGCCCUCGCUUCAAAGAUUCACCUACCUCUGCAUUAGAGGUGCCACGCAGCGCACUGGAGAGUCUGUUGCAACUGCCACAGUCAAAUGGAAUUAAAAGCCAACAAACUCUGGCUCCCUGGCUACUAAAUGAAAAUAUUGUAAGCAGUGAGAAGGCGGAUGAACUUGCAAGAAAGGGAUUCUAAACAUCAUUUGUGGGGCCUGCUCGUGGAAUCAGCAAAGUCGACGCUAUAAGAACCAUGGGAGCUGGAGCAAUUAACCUUUGAUGAGGGGAUGAGCAAAACAAGAAUGAGAACAUUGGUAAAUCAUGGAAACAUACCACUUGGGGAAUAACAAACCUCGAAGAAGGGCCCGAUUCGGUGCACCUAGUGAAAUAUGUCGUUAGUCUCGUAACUAGAACAGAACAAGGGGAAAUUUUCUGAAAUAUUACAUUUCCACAGAAAAGCAAUAAAAUUAUUCUGCAAGAAAAUCCCUUUCCUUCAAUGUUUGCUGAAAAUAAUAAGGUAUCUUUCGAACACGAUAAGAUCCCAGCGCAUACCGCUACACUAGUAACUAAUAUUGCUAAUUAUUGCCAGCAAUUAAUAAAUUUAAGAAAAUAAAUUACACUGAUCCAAUACGUAAAGAAUAUAACGAAUCAAGAACCUUUAGAUAUCAACGUUCUUACAAAGCUAAUAGACUCAAUUGGCUUUCACAAAGUCCUAACGUAAAAACAAUUAAAAAUAUUUGGAGUUAUUUGAAGUACCAUGUAUGUAGGAUAAAAUCCCAUUCGGGAGCUUUGGACCAACCUUGUAACAAAAUG